CGGAAUCUGCCUAUUUGUGGGGGAUAACGUAGGGAAACUUACGCUAAUACCGCAUACGACCUACGGGUGAAAGCGGAGGACCUUCGGGCUUCGCGCAGAUAGAUGAGCCGAUGUCGGAUUAGCUAGUUGGCGGGGUAAAGGCCCACCAAGGCGACGAUCCGUAGCUGGUCUGAGAGGAUGAUCAGCCACACUGGAACUGAGACACGGUCCAGACUCCUACGGGAGGCAGCAGUGGGGAAUAUUGGACAAUGGGCGCAAGCCUGAUCCAGCCAUGCCGCGUGGGUGAAGAAGGCCUUCGGGUUGUAAAGCCCUUUUGUUGGGAAAGAAAAGCAGUCGGUUAAUACCCGAUUGUUCUGACGGUACCCAAAGAAUAAGCACCGGCUAACUUCGUGCCAGCAGCCGCGGUAAUACGAAGGGUGCAAGCGUUACUCGGAAUUACUGGGCGUAAAGCGCGCGUAGGUGGUUUGUUAAGUCUGAUGUGAAAGCCCUGGGCUCAACCUGGGAAUUGCAUUGGAUACUGGCAGGCUAGAGUGCGGUAGAGGGUAGUGGAAUUCCCGGU
rnacentral:rRNA from 1 species